GGAAGGAUCAUUAUUGAAUGAACUUGGUGUGGUUGUUGCUGGCCCUCUUGGGGGCAUGUGCACACCCACCAUCCUCAUCUCUCCACCUGUGCACCUCUUGUAGACCUGGAUUGACUUUCCGAGGCAACUCGGUCGGGAAGAUUGGUGCGCUCUGUGAGCCAGCUUUCUUUGCAUAUCCAGGCCUAUGUUUUUCACUUACCCCUAUAGAAUGUAACAGAAUGUAUCAUUGGGCCUUGUGCCUAUAAACUUUAUACAACUUUCAGCAACGGAUCUCUUGGCUCUCGCAUCGAUGAAGAACGCAGCGAAAUGCGAUAAGUAAUGUGAAUUGCAGAAUUCAGUGAAUCAUCGAAUCUUUGAACGCACCUUGCGCUCCUUGGUAUUCCGAGGAGCAUGCCUGUUUGAGUGUCAUUAAAUUCUCAACCUUAUUAACUUUUGUUGAUAAUGGAUGGAUGUGGGGGUAUCUUUUGCUGGCUUCUUUACAGAGAUCAGCUCCCCUUAAAUGCAUUAGCUGGUGCCCCGCGUGGACCAUCUAUUGGUGUGAUAAUUAUCUACGCCGUGGAUGUCUGCAAUCAUAUGGGUUUUGCACUGCUUCUAACUGUCUGUUCAUUUGGACAAUACAUGACAAUUUGACCUCAAAUCAGGUAGGACUACCCGCUGAACUUAAGCAUAUCAAUAAGCGGAGGAAAAGAAACUAACAAGGAUUCCCCUAGUAACUGCGAGUGAAGCGGGAAAAGCUCAAAUUUAAAAUCUGGCGGUCUCCGGCCGUCCGAGUUGUAAUCUAGAGAAGUGUUAUCCGCGCUGGACCGUGUACAAGUCUCCUGGAAUGGAGCGUCAUAGAGGGUGAGAAUCCCGUCUUUGACACGGACUGCCAGGGCUUUGUGAUGCGCUCUCAAAGAGUCGAGUUGUUUGGGAAUGCAGCUCAAAAUGGGUGGUAAAUU
rnacentral:sRNA from 1 species